UAACAAGGAUUCCCCUAGUAACUGCGAGUGAAGCGGGAAAAGCUCAAAUUUAAAAUCUGGCGGUCUCUGGCUGUCCGAGUUGUAAUCUAGAGAAGUAAUGCCCGUGCUGGACCGUGUAUAAGUCUCCUGGGAUGGGGCGUCAUAGAGGGUGAGAAUCCCGUCUUUGACACGGACUACCAGUGCAUUGUGGUAUGCUCUCAAAGAGUCGAGUUGUUUGGGAAUGCAGCUCAAAAUGGGUGGUAAAUUCCAUCUAAAGCUAAAUAUUGGCGAGAGACCGAUAGCGAACAAGUACCGUGAGGGAAAGAUGAAAAGAACUUUGGAAAGAGAGUUAAACAGUACGUGAAAUUGCUGAAAGGGAAACGCUUGAAGUCAGUCGCGUUGGCYGGGAAUCAGCCUUGCUUUUGCAUGGUGUACUUUCUGGUUGACGGGUCAGCAUCAAUUUUGACCACUGGAAAAGGUUCAAGGGAAUGUGGCAGCUUCGGCUGUGUUAUAGCCCUUGUUCACAUACAGUGGUUGGGAUUGAGGAACUCAGCACGCCGCAAGGCCGGGUUUCGACCACGUUCGUGCUUAGGAUGCUGGCAUAAUGGCUUUAAGCGACCCGUCUUGAAACACGGACCAAGGAGUCUAACAUGCCUGCGAGUAUUUGGGUGGAAAACCCAAGUGCGCAAUGAAAGUGAAAGUUGAGAUCCCUGUCGUGGGGAGCAUCGACGCCCGGACCAGAACUUUUGGGACGGAUCCGCGGUGGAGCAUGUAUGUUGGGACCCGAAAGAUGGUGAACUAUGCCUGAAUAGGGUGAAGCCAGAGGAAACUCUGGUGGAGGCUCGUAGCGAUUCUGACGUGCAAAUCGAUCGUCAAAUUUGGGUAUAGG
rnacentral:rRNA from 1 species